ACCUAGAGUGUAGGAGGUACACGUGGGCUUUUCACAGUAAAAGUACCAACAAUGUAGAUGUUACAUGUGGUCCUUUGACAGUAAAACUACCCAGGAUGCAGUAGUUACCAGUGGUCAUUUCAAAGUAAAAGUAGCCAGGAUGUAGUAGUUACCAGUGGUCCUUUCAAAAUAAAAGUACAGAGAGUGUAGGAAGUACACUUGGUCCUUCUCACAGUUCAAGUAUACAGAGUGUAGAAGAAAAACAUGAGGAUCAACAGAAAAAAAGUACCAACGUUUUCUUACAACAGGAAGGAGCAGCUGUCUGUGAUGUCAGGUGUAUAGUUCUAUGUUCAUUAAACCCCAUACUCCUUCAUUAGUGUGCUUAUUCCUAUGUGUGCUUGUUUGUGUGUACGUGUUUGUGUGUGUGUGAACGUGUAUGCGUUUUGUACGUGUGUGGGAAUUAUCAGUGGAGUACUAAUUUGGGCCAACAGGUGGCAGCCAUGAGAAACACACAACAGCAAAAAGGAGCACUUGUUGAUUCUCUAUUGCUCCUUAGAGUGGGCCUUCAAAGCUGUGUGUGUGUGUGUGUGUGUGUGUGUGUGUGUGUGUGUGUGUGUGUGUGUGUGUGUGUGUGUGUGUGUGUGCGCGCCCGAGUGUGUGUGUAUUGAGUACAUAAAAGCCACUGUUGGUGACAAGGCUUCAAUUGCAUGUCCACAAUGGUCAUGCACAAAUGUUGUAGAAAAUAACCAACGCUUACAUUAAAUACUAAACACACAUUAUAUAUAUUAUAUAUACGUAUGUGUGUAUAAAUACGUCUAUAUAUACACACAUUCUACAUUUUACAUGUAUGUGUGUAUACAUUUGUCUAAAUAAGGCUAUAUAUACACACAUUAUAUAUAAUAUGUGGAUAUAUGUAUAAAUAAGUCUAUGCAUACAAACACAGGCCAGUCCAUGGAGGAGGAAGAAUAUUUGUAUCCACAGAAACAGCCGGGUGG